CGCAUCGUCUACGUAUAACGAAAGCUCCGAUAAAACCAUCGAUACAACGGCCGGUUCGUUGUUCCUGGUUUUGUUCCUUCUUUUCUGAACGACAUCAUUUUUAAGAGUACUAUGACCACUGAUCCAGAACGUGCCGGAGAUACUACUGAUACGGAAUCUGUUGAAGAUGAAGAUGAACGCAAUACUUCAGAGCUAGAUUCGAAAAAACUUAAUACCACUGAAAAAAUAAAUACUCUGCAAGAUCUCGUUUGUGCACCUGGGAUAGAGCAAAUGCAGUCCCUACCAGCACCUAUUAAACGUAGAAUUAAGGCUCUCAAACAACUACAAUUGGUUACUACUAACAUUGAAGCCAAAUUUUAUGAAGAAGUACAUGCCUUAGAAUGUGCUUAUUACAAUAUGUGUGCACCACUAUACGAGAAAAGAAGUCUAAUAGUUUCUGGUUCAUACGAACCAACAGAUGAUCAGUGUGUCUGGGAAAGUGAUGAAGAUGAAGAGGCCUUGGCAAAUGAAUUAAAAACGAAAGCAGAUCUUGAUGGUCCUCAGGAAAAAAAAGAGGAAACUGAAAAUGAAGAUGUUAAAGGAAUACCUGCAUUUUGGGUAACGAUAUUUAAAAAUGUUGGUAUGUUGGCUGAUAUGGUACAAGAACAUGAUGAACCAAUUUUAUUACAUUUAAAUGACAUCAAAGUAAAAUUUUUAAAAUCUAAUCCAAUGGGUUUUAUCCUGGAAUUCUAUUUUGAACCGAAUGAAUAUUUUACCAAUUCUGUUCUUACUAAAGAAUAUAUUAUAAGAUGUGUACCAGAAAAAAAUGAUCCAUUCAGUUUUGAAGGACCUGAAAUAUAUAAAAGCAAGGGUUGCACAAUUGAUUGGAAAAAGGGAAAAAAUGUAACGGUCAAAACAAUAAAAAAGAAUCAAAAACAUAAAUCUAGAGGUUCUAUGCGUACAGUAACAAAAACUGUUCAAAAUGAUUCAUUCUUUAAUUUCUUUAGCCCACCAGUUGUGCCCGAUGAUGCAGAAGCGGAGUUAGAUGAUGAAACUCAAGCUUUGCUUACAAGUGAUUUUGAAAUUGGACAUUAUAUUAGAGAACGUAUAGUUCCUAGAGCUGUACUUUACUAUACAGGUGAAGGAUUAGAAGAUGAUGAAGAUUAUGAAGAUGAAGAAGAGGAAGAUGAUAAUGAUGAUAUUACAACUUCAGAAGAUGAAGAUGAGGAAUCUUCUCCGUUCAAUGCGCCUUCAGGUGGGAAAAAACAAGGCGAGGAUCCUAACGAAUGUAAACAACAGUAGAAUUUCGUAUGAAUUACGAUAAAAAAAAGAAAAAAAAAUCAUUCGAGCGUUACAAUCAAGCCUAGACACUCUUCAACAUACCAGCGAAAAAAUUAUGCGUAUCCUCCCUCUAAAUCAACGUUAAUAAUGAAUAGUAUAUAGCUACUUACUGCUAAGAUCUAACAAUGUCAUAAGUGUAACAGUUAUGCUCUCAAUAUGAUUAUUGUCAUUUUUAA
rnacentral:misc_RNA from 1 species